AAAUUGAAGAGUUUGAUCAUGGCUCAGAUUGAACGCUGGCGGCAGGCCUAACACAUGCAAGUCGAACGGUAACAGGAAGCAGCUUGCUGCUUCGCUGACGAGUGGCGGACGGGUGAGUAAUGUCUGGGAAACUGCCUGAUGGAGGGGGAUAACUACUGGAAACGGUAGCUAAUACCGCAUAACGUCGCAAGACCAAAGAGGGGGACCUUCGGGCCUCUUGCCAUCGGAUGUGCCCAGAUGGGAUUAGCUUGUUGGUGGGGUAACGGCUCACCAAGGCGACGAUCCCUAGCUGGUCUGAGAGGAUGACCAGCCACACUGGAACUGAGACACGGUCCAGACUCCUACGGGAGGCAGCAGUGGGGAAUAUUGCACAAUGGGCGCAAGCCUGAUGCAGCCAUGCCGCGUGUAUGAAGAAG
rnacentral:rRNA from 1 species